rnacentral:rRNA from 1 species
UACGAGGGGGGCGAGCGUUGUUCGAAAUUAUUGGGCGUAAAGGGUGCGUAGGCGGUUUGGUAAGUCUUAUGUGAAAUCUAUGGGCUCAACUCAUAGACUGCAUGAGAAACUGCCGGGCUUGAGUAUGGGAGAGGUGAGUGGAAUUCCUGGUGUAGCGGUGAAAUGCGUAGAUAUCAGGAGGAACACCUGUGGCGAAAGCGGCUCACUGGACCAUUACUGACACUGAGAAGCGAAAGCAUGGGGAGCGAACAGG